rnacentral:rRNA from 1 species
ACAUCCAGAGAAUUUAGCAGAGAUGCUUUAGUGCCUUCGGGAACUCUGAGACAGGUGCUGCAUGGCUGUCGUCAGCUCGUGUUGUGAAAUGUUGGGUUAAGUCCCGCAACGAGCGCAACCCUUAUCCUUGUUUUUGCCAGCACGUAAUGGUGGGAACUCAAAGGAGACUGCCGGUGAUAAACCGGAGGAAGGUGGGGAUGACGUCAAGUCAUCAUGGCCCUUACGAGUAGGGCUACACACGUGCUACAAUGGCGCAUACAAAGAGAAGCGACCUCGCGAGAGCAAGCGGACCUCAUAAAGUGCGUCGUAGUCCGGAUUGGAGUCUGCAACUCGACUCCAUGAAGUCGGAAUCGCUAGUAAUCGUAAAUCAGAAUGUUACGGUGAAUACGUUCCCGGGCCUUGUACACACCGCCCGUCACACCAUGGGAGUGGGUUGCAAAAGAAGUAGAUAGCUUAACCUUCGGGAGGGCGUUUACCACUUUGUGAUUCAUGACUGGGGUGAAGUCGUAACAAGGUAAGCGUAGUGCU